rnacentral:lncRNA from 1 species
AGAAGGACUAAAAGGAUGAUUCAGGAAGAAAAGAAAAUUAUCACCAAAGGUCUGCGUAGGUAUCCUGAAGUGGAACAGAAUUUCUAAGAGUACGGCUUGGGAUGGACUAUAAAAGGGGGAACCUCAUUUUGCCUUGCACUAUUCCAAGAGUUUUACGCGAACUACCAGGCUCAGUUGGAAAACAUAUGUAGGUUAGGAGAAAGAGUUGUAGACCAGCCCCUAUUG